GAUUCAGUAGUGUAGGGGUAUCAUGGGCGCUUGCCAUUAAGCAUUCUGCGCCCGACCCGGGUUCAAAUCCCGGCUGAAUCA
rnacentral:tRNA from 1 species